rnacentral:rRNA from 1 species
GGAUUAGAUACCCUGGUAGUCCACACCGUAAACGAUGUGUGCUAGUUGUCGGGACUUCAGGUCUCGGUGACGCAGCUAACGCAUUAAGCACACCGCCUGGGGAGUACGGCCGCAAGGUUAAAACUCAAAGGAAUUGACGGGGACCCGCACAAGCGGUGGAGCAUGUGGUUUAAUUCGAAGCAACGCGAAGAACCUUACCAGGACUUGACAUCCCGAUCGCGGAUUACAGAGAUGUUUUCCUUCAGUUCGGCUGGAUCGGUGACAGGUGCUGCACGGCUGUCGUCAGCUCGUGCCG